GACGAACGCUGGCGGCGUGCUUAACACAUGCGAGUCGAACGGAAAGGCCCUGCUUUUGUGGGGUGCUCGAGUGGCGAACGGGUGCGUAACACGUGAGUAACCUGCCCUUGACUUUGGGAUAACUUCCGAAAAGGGGGGCGAGUACGGAAUGGGAGGUCAUCUGCCGUGGAGGGGGUGGGAAAUUUCGGGGGGUGGGGGAAGGAGCCGGGGCUUUUUAGUUUGUUGGUGGGGGUAGUGGUUACCAAGGCUUUUGAGGGUGGCCGGCCUGAGAGGGUGACCGGCCACAUUGGGACUGGGGUACGGCCCAGACUCCUACGGGAGGCAGCAGUGGGGAAUAUUGCACAAUGGGCGGAAGCCUGAUGCAGCAACGCCGCGUGCGGGAUGACGGCCUUCGGGUUGUAAACCGCUUUCGCCUGUGACGAAGCGUGAGUGACGGUAAUGGGUAAAGAAGCACCGGCUAACUACGUG
rnacentral:rRNA from 1 species